rnacentral:rRNA from 4 species
UUGACCUCGAAUCAGGUAGGAAUACCCGCUGAACUUAAGCAUAUCAAUAAGCGGAGGAAAAGAAACCAACCGGGAUUACCUCAGUAACGG